GAUGAAGAACGCAGCGAAAUGCGAUAAGUAAUGUGAAUUGCAGAAUUCAGUGAAUCAUCGAAUCUUUGAACGCACAUUGCGCCCGUCAGUAUUCUGGCGGGCAUGCCUGUUCGAGCGUCAUUACGCCCCUCAAGUCCCCUGUGGACUUGGUGUUGGGGAUCGGCGAGGCUGGUUUUCCAGCACAGCCGUCCCUUAAAUUAAUUGGCGGUCUCGCCGUGGCCCUCCUCUGCGCAGUAGUAAAACACUCGCAACAGGAGCCCGGCGCGGUCCACUGCCGUAAAACCCCCCAACUUUUUAUGGUUGACCUCGAAUCAGGUAGGACUACCCGCUGAACUUAAGCAUAUCAAUAAGCGGAGGA
rnacentral:misc_RNA from 1 species